ensembl:lncRNA
CUUGUUCCUUCCAGUACUGCCUCUGAUCAGCCUGUGAUGGAGGAGGAUGAAGAACUGGAGAGGAUAAUGCUGAGUCUGUCUCCAACAAAGUAUCUCACACAGCUGAGAUCAUCUGCAGCCACGGGAUCCACAGUCUUAUCUACAGCAGGUUACUUUCCAAAUCAGAUUCAGAGGCUUAUUCUGUUACAUACAGACUUAUCCUCCAUUUCUGAAUUUAAUUAUCUUAUUUAUUGUUUUGGCAGUGUUCUUGCCUGUUCUAAAAAACAUGUUCUUUUGUUCUAACUAUAAUUAAGGGUUGAACAUACCAGUGGUGAGGGUGAGUGCACUUCAUGAAUUGUAUGCAUGGUAUUUAAAGUGUUAUUUGUUGUUAUAAGUGGAAUGUUUACUUACAGAC